rnacentral:lncRNA from 1 species
UAUAUAUAUAAUUUAAACUCUAAAAUAUCCUAACUUUUGACUUUCUCAUUGCCUAGACUUCUGUGACCAGGAAAUUUGGAAGCCAAGCAUAGGACACCAGGAGAGGAUGGAUAGAAGCAAAAUUUAUCAGAAUUAGCUUUGGAAUCUCUGACUCAUGUCUGGAAUAUCAUCAGCCAUUAGCACCAGACAAAAUGUAGCCACUGACAAAUCUUCUGGGAUGCUAGUUUAUCAAUUCUAAAAAUUUGACCUUGGGAUUCAGGCUUGGCGGACCAGCAAAUGAAGUCAGGAGAACUGUUAUGAAUCGGGGAGAGUUGGGAGAAUGGUGGUUCCCAUAAUGAUAAAGAGCAAUUGCAAUAAAAGAAACUGGAAUAAAUGAAAAUUAACCAAAAAUUAAACGUAUAUUAGUUUUUUUACUUUCUGGCUCAAGAAAUCAAUAUUUGCGUGUAUCCGAGUAUC